rnacentral:rRNA from 1 species
GACGAACGCUGGCGGCGUGCUUAACACAUGCAAGUCGAACGGAAAGGCCCUGCUUUUGUGGGGUGCUCGAGUGGCGAACGGGUGAGUAACACGUGAGUAACCUGCCCUUGACUUUGGGAUAACUUCAGGAAACUGGGGCUAAUACCGGAUAGGAGCUCCUGCUGCAUGGUGGGGGUUGGAAAGUUUCGGCGGUUGGGGAUGGACUCGCGGCUUAUCAGCUUGUUGGUGGGGUAGUGGCUUACCAAGGCUUUGACGGGUAGCCGGCCUGAGAGGGUGACCGGCCACAUUGGAACGGAGGUAGGCCCAGACUCCUACGGGAGGCAGCAGUGGGGAAUAUUGCACAAUGGGCGGAAGCCUGAUGCAGCAACGCCGCGUGCGGGAUGACGGCCUUCGGGUUGUAAACCGCUUUCGCCUGUGACGAAGCGUGAGUGACGGUAAUGGGUAAAGAAGCACCGGCUAACUACGUG